rnacentral:tRNA from 1 species
GGGCAUCUCCUCGUUGGCGCAGGUCCAAGGGGAGACCAAGGGUCCGGACUCGGAGUUGCUGCUGCGAGUCUCACCUUCGACCCGGAGGAGCCCGGCCGGCGGCAAAGGGUGAGGACCUGGGGGGGUCUCCUCAGACGCUGGAAUCUGAGGCCCAGGCUCCUCUUCUGGGGCGGAAGGACGAGAUUUCCUGGAGUCGAGGUUCCGGUCUUACCCUAACAGCGGCUUUCGUGUCCAGUGGAGAUUCAGGGGCGAGAAAUUCUGAACAAAAUCAGAAUAAACUGGAAAAAGGCCAAUUAAAAUUCUUAAUAAAAUAGUACCGGAAUACAACACUGCUUGGAAUUCAGGUCUUGAACCGUUAACACGAAAGCUCAGAGGCAGUCACCCUGGCUGCUCAGGGACAUCAGAGCCCUUCAAGACUCGGGUGCUGCCACGUCCGUGUGGCCCUCGCGGUUCCGGGGCAGCGCGUGGGUCCGACGCAGAACAGGAGUGAGUAAAAACUGCUGAGCGCCGCCCCAAAGACGAGGUUCCACCGAGACUCGAACUCGGAUUCACGCUGGAUUCAGAGUCCAGAGUGCUCGCCAUCACACCAUGGAACCACCGGGGACCCUUCAGCUGGGAUCACUGAAUUCAGAGGCCAGAGUGCUCACCAUAACGCAGACCCUCCCGCAGCCCGUCCCUGCCAGCAGUUGAGCCAGGCGCGCGCAGCCCCGCCGGCCCAGGACCCGCUUCCCGCCGGGCGCGCUCCUCAGCCGCGCGCAGCCCGCGUCCUCCGCGACGCCAGGGGGCGCCGGCCUUGCCUGCCCUCGGCCUCCCUGCAGGUUAGUACGUCCAGGAGGACAUGAAAUCCACUGGGGUCAGCGACAGGGCAGGGCUUUCAGGCCUCCCCCAAGUCCACCUGCUCUGCCAGCAUUUGUGGAGUGUUCUACGCUGAGGAGUUCUACUUCAGCGCAGGAAACUCUACAAAUGCUGGCAGAACAGAGGGUUUGGGGUGGGCCCUGCCCUGUCGCUGACCUCAACGGAUUUUAUCGUCCUCUGGUACAAACCUGCCCGGAGGCCGCGGGCAGGCGAGUCCGGAGCCUCCUGGCGUCGAGGCGGAAGCGGGCUGGGGGCUGCGGGGUGAGGAGCGCGCCCGGCGGGAGGCGGGGCCUGGGCCGGCGGGGCUGCGCGCGGCCUGGCCCAGCGGCUGCAAGGUAAAGGCCGGUGGGCGGUUCCAUGGUGUA